rnacentral:rRNA from 1 species
GUAGGUGGCAAGCGUUGUCCGGGAAUUAUUGGGCGUAAAGCGCGCGCAGGCGGUUCUUUAAGUCUGAUGUGAAAGCCCACGGGCUCAACCGUGGAGGGUCAUUGGAAACUGGAGAACUUGAGUGCAGAAGAGGAAAGCGGAAUUCCACGUGUAGCGGUGAAAUGCGUAGAGAUGUGGAGGAACACCAGUGGCGAAGGCGGCUUUCUGGUCUGUAACUGACGCUGAGGCGCGAAAGCGUGGGGAGCAAACAGGAUUAGAUACCCUGGUAGUCCACGCCGUAAACGAUGAGUGCUAAGUGUUAGGGGGUUUCCGCCCCUUAGUGCUGCAGCUAACGCAUUAAGCACUCCGCCUGGGGAGUACGGCCGCAAGGCUG